rnacentral:rRNA from 1 species
UACGGAGGGUGCGAGCGUUGUCCGGAAUCACUGGGCGUAAAGGGCGCGUAGGCGGCGCGAGUAGUCAACGGUGAAAGUCCGGGGCUCAACUCCGGAUCUGCGGUGGGUACGGGCAGACUAGAGUGAUGUAGGGGGAGACUGGAAUUCCUGGUGUAGCGGUGAAAUGCGCAGAUAUCAGGAGGAACACCGGUGCGAAGGCGGGUCUCUGGGCAUUAACUGACGCUGAGGAGCGAAAAGCAUGGGGGAGCGAACAGG